CCGUGAGGGAAAGAUGAAAGAACUUUGAAAAGAGAGUUAAACAGUACGUGAAAUUGUCGAAAGGGAAACGAUUGAAGUCAGUCAUACCNACGGGAAAUCAACCUUUUGAGUUUGUUCUCGUGGGUUUCGAGGAGUUCCAAAGCCUUCCUGAUUUGCUAGGAUUGGGCUCUUUUGGUGUAUUUCUCGUACGG
rnacentral:rRNA from 1 species